rnacentral:rRNA from 1 species
AACGAACGCUGGCGGCAUGCCUAACACAUGCAAGUCGAACGAGACCUUCGGGUCUAGUGGCGCACGGGUGCGUAACGCGUGGGAACCUGCCCUUAGGUUCGGAAUAACUCCCCGAAAGGGGUGCUAAUACCGGAUAAUGUCUUCGGCCCAAAGAUUUAUAGCCUUUGGAUGGGCCCGCAUUGGAUUAGCUAGUUGGUAGGGUAAAAGCCUACCAAGGCGACGAUCCAUAGCUGGUCUGAGAGGAUGAUCAGCCACACUGGGACUGAGACACGGCCCAGACUCCUACGGGAGGCAGGAGUGGGGAAUAUUGGACAAUGGGCGAAAGCCUGAUCCAGCAAUGCCGCGUGAGUGAUGAAGGCCUUAGGGUUGUAAAGCUCUUUUACCCGGGAUGAUAAUGACAGUACCGGGAGAAUAAGCUCCGGCUAACUCCGUG